CUUGCUAUCAAACAUGUUCUAUGAUAAUACAAAGUAUUUGUUCUUAUCAGCUUAAUAUCUGAUACGUUACAUGGGGACCAGAAUAUUAAACUGAUUUUUGAACAUUGGCGGGGUUACUGGAGCUUGCUCCUGCCCUGCCGCGGGUUGGCCUGGCAUUGCACUACAGCCAGGAUCGGCCCAUUUUAU
rnacentral:snRNA from 1 species